AUGAGUAGCUGUCUUCCAUGGAUGGGCAUUCCGUUUAACUACCCUGCCAUAAAUCAAAACAGGAAGUGUCCAAGUGUAGUAUGGUCUGGAAUGUGUCUUGCUACUCGUUUUUUUUGUAAUAUGCGCAACCAUAACAAUUCCCCAAAGGAUAAAAGGCAUGGUAGGAUUGACAGAAAUUUGAUUGACAUGUUUGUGCUCCAUGAGCAUCUGCAACUAUGUGCAAAGGGGAGGUCCCUCCUGGUUGGGAAAAGCUGCCAUGGGCUAGCCAUUCAUUUUGGUCUGGUAACAGAUAUUCUGACAUGCAAUAUUCUAAUCAACUUGUACACAAAAUGUGGUCAGAAUGAUUGUGCUCGUCAUGUUUUUGAUGGAAUGCUUGCCAGAAGCAUAGUCUCAUGGAAUACCAUGAUUGCUGGAUAUACUCAGAGUCGAGAGGAUGUACAAGCUCUGAAGCUUUUUCAAAGGAUGCACCGAGAAGGGAGACAACCGACUGAAUUUACUUUAUCCAGCACAAUCUGUGCAUGCGCUGCAAAAUAUGCUAUCAAUGAAUGCAAGCAAUUACACACUAUUGCAUUCAAGCUUGCGUUGGACUCAAACAGCUUUGUUGGGACAGCAAUUCUAGAUGUUUAUGCAAAAUGUAAUAUGAUUAAGGAUGCCUGCUGGGUUUUUGAGAAGAUGCCUGAUAAAACUUUAGUUACAUGGAGUUCAUUGUUCGCAGGGUAUGUGCAGAAUGGUCUUCACGAAGAAGCAUUAUGUUUAUUUCGGAAUGCCCAAAGGGAAGGAGUAAAAUUGACUGAAUUCACUCUUUCUGCUAUCAUUAGCGCAUGUGCAAGCUUAGCAUUGAAAAUUGAAGGGACACAACUGCAUGCAGUUAUUGUGAAAUGUGGUUUUCAUGGGAACUUCUUUGUGGCAGCAUCUCUUGUGGAUGUGUAUGCAAGUUGUGGCCAGAUUGAAAAAUCUUAUGCACUAUUUGCUUAUAUGGAACAGAAGAAUGUUGUCAUAUGGAAUGCAAUGAUUGCUGGUUUUUCGAGGCAUGCCCAUUCUUGGGAAGCUAUGAUUCUCUUUGAGAAAAUGCACCAGUUACGUAUUUUUCCAAACGAAGUUACCUAUCUCUCCAUGUUGUCACUGUGCAGUCAUGCAGGUUUAGUUGAAGAGGCUCGUCAUUACUUUAACCUGCUAAUAUCUGAUCGGACUGUUGAACCUAAUGCCCUUCACUAUUCUUGCAUGGUUGAUGUUCUGGGUCGAUCUGGGAAGACUGAUGAGGCCUGGGAAUUGCUUCACAAAAUGCCAUUUGAGCCAACUGCUUCUAUGUGGGGAUCUUUGCUUGGGUCAUGCAGAAACUACAAUAACAGUGACUUAGCCAGAAUAGCUGCCGAACAGCUUUUCCAACUUGAGCCUGACAAUGGAGGGAACCAUGUUUUGCUCUCAAAUGUAUAA
rnacentral:rRNA from 1 species